rnacentral:rRNA from 1 species
CCUACGGUGGGCUGCAGUGGGGAAUAUUGGACAAUGGGCGAAAGCCUGAUCCAGCCAUGCCGCGUGUGUGAAGAAGGCCUUCGGGUUGUAAAGCACUUUCAGUGGGGAAGAAAGCCUUGGGGCUAAUACCCUCGAGGAAGGACAUCACCCACAGAAGAAGCACCGGCUAACUCCGUGCCAGCAGCCGCGGUAAUACGGAGGGUGCGAGCGUUAAUCGGAAUUACUGGGCGUAAAGCGCGCGUAGGCGGUCUGAUAAGCCGGUUGUGAAAGCCCCGGGCUCAACCUGGGAACGGCAUCCGGAACUGUCAGGCUAGAGUGCAGGAGAGGAAGGUAGAAUUCCCGGUGUAGCGGUGAAAUGCGUAGAGAUCGGGAGGAAUACCAGUGGCGAAGGCGGCCUUCUGGACUGACACUGACGCUGAGGUGCGAAAGCGUGGGUAGCCAACAGGAUUAGAUACCCGAGUAGUC